UGCCCAGCAACUCCUAUCCCUACCUCCUCGCGGUAUCGGCCGGAAACUAUGAGCAACCUUAGGGAAGAUUGGGUAACCAACCCCGGUGGGAACUUUGGUCGUAGGCUGACAGGAAAGG
rfam:Aedes albopictus isolate Foshan contig55196, whole genome shotgun sequence.